AGUGUCUGGUCCUCACUCACGCGGCUCUCUGCUGCUCAGGUCGAUUUUCUCUCCCACCCUCACCCAGGCUCUUUCCACAGCAUCACCCCUGCCCCAGCCCCUGGAGCCACCUGCUUUCCUAAGUGGUUUUGGAAACUGGGCUGAGGUCCCAAAGGGUGUCCACUGUGCUGUUGCUCUCCGCUCUGUCCAAGCAAAGCACAAGCUCAGCCGACUUUGAAAGACACCCACCGCCUGGCCUGGGAAUGCACAAGUUCAGAGCUUUGCAAGAAGUGAUCAUGGGCUAUGGCUUUGUGAAAAUGUCACCCUCACCAGUGCCUUUUUCGCGGACGUGGACGUGGAGGAAUGAGGGAGGGUAAUCACUGGGCUACCAAGGUACUGCUAAGAGCAGAAGAGAAAAUCCCAGUUUUCAGCCAUGUGUCUGGUUUGACAUUUCACCAACCCAUUUAAGUGUGCAGGCCCCCAAAUAUCUACCUAAAGAUUAUGAUAGUUUAGGCAUUUUACACUUGAAAUUAUUGACCUCAUAUCCACUGAAGCCUGACUGGCCAGUGUCUCAAAGACACAGAUGAUGACCUGAUCCCUCAGGAACAGCUGGUGCUCCAGCUUUGUGGAGGUGAAUUUCAAGGUAUGGAUUACUUGGGGGGUCGUUGAAACCUGUCAGGCUCAGGAACAGAUGGUGCUCCAGCUUUGUGGAGAUGAAUUUCAAGGAAUAAAUCCAACUUGAUCAUAACAUCCAACUGUGUUGCCCAGGCUAGUCUCAAACUCCUGGAUUCAAGAGCCCCUCUCCUCUCAGCCUACGAAAGUGCUGGGAUUAAAGUCCUGAACUGACAGCCACAAGUGGCACCUGAACAGGGACUUGAACAAAGAAGGUCUGCUGGAGCAGAAAAAGUGAAACUGACCAGAUGAAUGAGAAACCCUGGGAUGAGUCUGCCUGCAGAGGAUAUAAGGAGAUGGAUAAACCGUGUGAGUGCCCUCAAGUUGUGUGCGACCAUGGAAUGGGAGACUGGAGGGAUACAUGGAUCCCAACUACAGGCCCAGCUCCUCCAGUAUGAGCCAUGAGCCAGUUGAAUCUGAAUGUGAAGAUGGAAUGAAGACCGACGAGAGUCACACUGACGUCAACCCUCAUAACAUGGGGUCAGAUCAAGAAAACCACACCAGAAGCUGAGAAACUGGUGUAGUGCCAGGGUCAGGCAAAAACCCCUGACUCCAUGUUUAUGGCCAUGCUAGCUGUAAUAUCCUGUGCAGUAUGAUUUUUCUGUGCAGAAGCAAAAACAUAUUGGGCAUAUUUUCCUAACCCACCGGUAGUGUGAUCAUACUCUGAAGCAGCACUCCUCCUGAGAUAUAUCAUGAUCAAGGAGCAUCAGUACCAGGACCUCUAACUCCCCCUGACACAGAGCAAUUAGACUCUCAUAACAAUGGUAUCAAUUAUACCACUCCAUUGGAGGGACUUCCUUUAUGUGUCACCCAGGAUACAUUGCUCAACUGCAGUUGCCUUGCAGUUUGAUCCCAAGCAUGGUUGAGUUACCAUUAAAAAAUUAUGUACCUAUUAGACCUUAGCUUUAUUAAUAUUACUUGUGUAGUUACUAAUCACUCCUGGCCCCAUCACCCAAAUUGUACUGAUUAUACAGAAUGGGCUCCCUUUGAUAAUUCUCACCCCCCUCCUUGGGCCCACUGUCUUGGCCCCUUAGCUAGACAAUAGUCCAUGUUAAUGGGAGACAUUAUUGACUGGGGUCCCUGUGGUCAUUAAGAUGGGAGAGAUGAGAAUCAGACCACAUGGCAUAAACUUCACUGGCACUGGUGGCGAAACUUUAACAUCUCUUCACUUCAACACACUGGGAUUCAAUCCCAAUCUGCCAUGCAACUUGCUUGGCAUGGAACGGGCUUUAGCCCACCUUUGCCUCAAUGGCAUUAUCAAGGAAAGAGAGGUCCAAUUCAGGAGUCUAUGUGGAAGGCAGCACUCCCAUAUAUGAAUGGCAGCAUUUGGGUUGGGACACUAUCCAAUAAUAGUAAUAGUGCUCAAUACAGUUUAAUGUUACCUUUGUAAAAAAUGUUUGAAAUUUGUGUUUUUAAUCCCUAUGUUUUUCUAGCAGCAAAAAAGGACCAACUCCAGGUAAACAAUGCCCAAUUGAAUUGUGAUUCCUGUCAACUCUAUCAUUGCCUUAAUCAUAGCACAAUACAAACACACAGCAUAUCCACCCUAAUAAUUCUAGGUCGCAUUCCUGGAUUAUGGAUUCCUGUAAAUCUAUCUGAGCCUUGGGCAGCCACCCCCACUUUACAUUUUGUAAAACUUCUUACUCAGCUUACUCAUGGCACUCGUAGAGCCUUAGGCAUGAUAAUUUUUACUAUAGUCUCCUUAAUUACAUUAAUACCCUCUGUUGUGGUGUCCUCAGUAGCACUGGACAGCUCCACUCAAACAGCUCAAUAUGCAGAAAAUUGGAUGCAUACAGCUGACCAGGCAUGGAUGUUUCAAAAUAAAACUAACACUGAGAUACAAACAGAAGUGGCAAUGUUAAAGACUACUGUUCUGUGGCUAGAAGAACAAGUACAAAGCUUGCAGUUGCAGUAGCAAUUGCGUUGUCAUUUUAACCAUACUCAUAUUUGUGUAACCAAUUAGGAAUAUAAUCAAAGUGAAUAUCCAUGGAACCUUGUAAAGGCCCAUUUACAGGGAGCUGUUACAUCCAAUGUUACUUUUGAUAUUAAUGAUUUACAAAGUAAAAUUCUAACAGCACCUCAAUAUCUUUUUCAUAAUUAUUGGAAUAAUGUUACUAUGUUUCUGUUUUUUGUUCAUAGUCUGUAAAAUCAACUGGAACACCAACCAGCAAUUGAGAGCUGAACAGCCUGCAAUUACCUUUAUUCAAUUAAAUCAAAAGCAGAAAGGGGGAGAUGUUGGAGGCUGAAAGAAUGAGGGUCAUGACCAACUCAGUAUACCACUGGAGGCUAUGUGAGCAAACAGCAAACUGUUCUCAUGAAUACAGGAUAUUGGCAAGCUGACAGCUGCAUCUGCCACCAGAAGGAAUGCUGAGGACAGUCAUGCAUCAGGCACAGUGUUCCUUGUAGUUAUCUAUAGGAACAUCUGGACCCUGUUGUAUAAAGAAAGCAAUUAUUUGAGCCUGUGAUAAAUCAAGCAGCUGACUAAAACUGUUACCUCUUCCUCCCUGUUGAUUCUACCUAAUACAUGUGAAGGGCUGUAUAAGCUCAGGGCCCUUGUUCCCUAGAAGCAAGGAGCCCCCUGACCCCUUCUUUACAACAAA